UGCCGCGUGUGUGAAGAAGGCCUUUUGGUUGUAAAGCACUUUAAGAGAGGAGGAGGCUCUUCUAGUUAAUACCUAGGAUGAGUGGACGUUACUCGCAGAAUAAGCACCGGCUAACUCUGUGCCAGCAGCCGCGGUAAUACAGAGGGUGCGAGCGUUAAUCGGAUUUACUGGGCGUAAAGCGUGCGUAGGCGGCUGAUUAAGUCGGAUGUGAAAUCCCUGAGCUUAACUUAGGAAUUGCAUUCGAUACUGGUCAGCUAGAGUAUGGGAGAGGAUGGUAGAAUUCCAGGUGUAGCGGUGAAAUGCGUAGAGAUCUGGAGGAAUACCGAUGGCGAAGGCAGCCAUCUGGCCUAAUACUGACGCUGAGGUACGAAAGCAUGGGGAGCAAACAGGAUUAGAUACCCUGGUAGUCCAUGCCGUAAACGAUGUCUACUAGCCGUUGGGGCCUUUGAGGCUUUAGUGGCGCAGCUAACGCGAUAAGUAGACCGCCUGGGGAGUACGGUCGCAAGACUAAAACUCAAAUGAAUUGACGGGGGCCCGCACAAGCGGUGGAGCAUGUGGUUUAAUUCGAUGCAACGCGAAGAACCUUACCUGGCCUUGACAUACUAGAAACUUUCCAGA
rnacentral:rRNA from 1 species